rnacentral:rRNA from 1 species
AUUGAACGCUGGCGGCAUGCCUUACACAUGCAAGUCGAACGGCAGCAUGAUCUAGCUUGCUUGAUUGAUGGCGAGUGGCGCACGGGUGUGUAAUACAUCUGAACGUGCCCUGUUGUGGGGAUAACUAGUCGAAAGAUUAGCUAAUACCGCAUACGACCUGCGGGUGAAAGUGGGGGACCGCAAGGCCUCAUGCUCUAGUAGCGGCCGAUGUCUGAUUAGCUAGUUGGUGAGGUAAAGGCUCACCAAGGCGACGAUCAGUAGCUGGUCUGAGAGGACGAUCAGCCACACUGGGACUGAGACACGGCCCAGACUCCGACGGGAGGCAGCAGGGGGGAAUUUUGGACAAUGGGCGAAAGCCUGAUCCAGCAAUGCGGCGGGUGUGAAGAAGGCCUUCGGGUGGUAAAGCAAUUUUGUCCGGAAAGAAAUGGCUCUGGUUAAUACCUGGGGUCGAUGACGGUACCGGAAGAAUAAGGACCGGCUAACUACGU